rnacentral:lncRNA from 1 species
GCCUGCAUCGUUUUUGCAUAUUUGGUGAAUAGUUAGAUUUGGAAAAUUGAUACCUGUCUUGUCCGAGUUACAGGACGAACCCAAGACACAUACAGAAGUAUACACUCAGUAACAUGUUUGAUUCUGUUGAAAGUAUGAUUCAGUAAAGCAAUUUAGAGCAAAAUUUACAAUUUAUCAGUAACUCUUUGUUUAAGGGAAAAAGUUUAGUAUUUAUAAGACCGGGCACGAGCACCAAGCAUGAUAAAAUCCUUGUGUGCAGUCAGGAUCUAUGCCUACUUUGCCCAGGGAGGCGACAGCACGGCACGGGUCAUAUGGUUCACUGGAAUUUUUUACCAUUUCCCCAAAAUUUCUUGGAUCAUGACUGGAUAGGCGAAGAAGAGCUCAAGAUAGGGGGUGGUGGGUGUGUAAGCUGGUACCUGGCCACCGGUGAGGUAGCGGAGGAGGAUGCAGGCGAGGGAGGAGGCCAGCAGCUGCGCCGCCACGUAGAGCACGGCCCUGAACGCCGAGAUGUGGCCGCGCGCUAGCAGCGCCAGCGUCACCGCCGGGUUCAGGUGGCCGCCCGACACGUGGAACCCCGCCGUCACCAGCACCCCCGCCGCCAGCGCCUGCGCCAGCGCGACCCCG